AAAAGAACCCCGGCGAGGGGAGUGAAAAAGAACCUGAAACCGUGUACGUACAAGCAGUGGGAGCACCUUCGGGUGUGACUGCGUACCUUUUGUAUAAUGGGUCAGCGACUUAUAUUCUGUAGCAAGGUUAACCGUAUAGGGGAGCCGCAGGGAAACCGAGUCUUAACUGGGCGUUAAGUUGCAGGGUAUAGACCCGAAACCCGGUGAUCUAGCCAUGGGCAGGUUGAAGGUUGGGUAACACUAACUGGAGGACCGAACCGACUAAUGUUGAAAAAUUAGCGGAUGACUUGUGGCUGGGGGUGAAAGGCCAAUCAAACCGGGAGAUAGCUGGUUCUCCCCGAAAGCUAUUUAGGUAGCGCCUCGUGAACUCAUCUUCGGGGGUAGAGCACUGUUUCGGCUAGGGGG
rnacentral:rRNA from 1 species